UACGAAGGGGGCUAGCGUUGCUCGGAAUCACUGGGCGUAAAGGGCGCGUAGGCGGCGUUUUAAGUCGGGGGUGAAAGCCUGUGGCUCAACCACAGAAUGGCCUUCGAUACUGGGACGCUUGAGUAUGGUAGAGGUUGGUGGAACUGCGAGUGUAGAGGUGAAAUUCGUAGAUAUUCGCAAGAACACCGGUGGCGAAGGCGGCCAACUGGACCAUUACUGACGCUGAGGCGCGAAAGCGUGGGGAGCAAACAGGAUUAGACUACCCG
rnacentral:rRNA from 1 species